GACGGAGAUCUCGGUGCUUGCCCGGGUGAUCAGUGGCGAACGGGUGAGUAACACGUGACUAACCUGCCCCCGACUCUGGGAUAACCCCGGGAAAUCGGAGCUAAUACCGGAUACGAGACGCACAGGCAUCUGCAGCGUCUGGAAAGAAUUUCGGUCGGGGAUGGAGUCGCGGCCUAUCAGCUAGUUGGUGAGGUAAUGGCCCACCAAGGCGACGACGGGUAGCCGGCCUGAGAGGGCGACCGGCCACACUGGGGACUGAGACACGGCCCAGACUCCUACGGGAGGCAGCAGUGGGGAAUAUUGCACAAUGGGCGAAAGCCUGAUGCAGCGACGCCGCGUGGGGGAUGAAGGCCUUCGGGUUGUAAACCCCUUUCAGCAGGGAAGAAGCGAAAGUGACGGUACCUGCAGAAGAAGCGCCGGCUAACUACGUGCCAGCAGCCGCGGUAAUACGUAGGGCGCAAGCGUUGUCCGGAUUUAUUGGGCGUAAAGAGCUCGUAGGCGGUUUGUCGCGUCUGCUGUGAAAACCCGAGGCUCAACCUCGGGCCUGCAGUGGGUACGGGCAGACUAGAGUGCGGUAGGGGAGACCGGAAUUCCUGGUGUAGCGGUGGAAUGCGCAGAUAUCANGAGGAACACCGAUGGCGAAGGCAGGUCUCUGGGCCGCAACUGACGCUGAGGAGCGAAAGCAUGGGGAGCGAACAGGAUUAGAUACCCUGGUAGUCCAUGCCGUAACGUUGGGCACUAG
rnacentral:rRNA from 1 species